CAGCAGCCGUGGUAAUACGUAGGGUGCGAGCGUUCAUCGGAUUUACUGGGCGUAAAGCGUGCGCAGGCGGCCCGUUAAGACAGGUGUGAAAUCCCUGGGCUCAACCUAGGAAUUGCGCUUGUGACUGGCGGGCUCGAGUACGGUAGAGGGGGGUGGAAUUCCUGGUGUAGCAGUGAAAUGCGUAGAGAUCAGGAGGAACACCGAUGGCGAAGGCAGCCCCCUGGGCCUGUACUGACGCUCAUGCACGAAAGCGUGGGGAGCAAACAGGAUUAGAUCCCCUGGUAGUCCACGCCCUAAACGAUGGGUACUAGCCGUUUGGUGCGCGAUAGCGCUGAGUGGCGAAGCUAACGCGUGAAGUACCCCGCCUGGGGAGUACGGCCGCAAGGUUGAAACUUAAAGGAAUUGGCGGG
rnacentral:rRNA from 1 species